rnacentral:rRNA from 1 species
CACGUAGGGUGCGAGCGUUGUCCGGAAUUAUUGGGCGUAAAGAGCUCGUAGGCGGUGUGUCACGUCGGCUGUGAAAACCCGAGGCUCAACCUCGGGCCUGCAGUCGAUACGGGCAAACUAGAGUACUGCAGGGGAGACUGGAAUUCCUGGUGUAGCGGUGAAAUGCGCAGAUAUCAGGAGGAACACCGGUGGCGAAGGCGGGUCUCUGGACAGUUCCUGACGGCUGAGGCGCGAAGGCCCAGGGGAGCAAACGGG